UAUCUUUAAGUGUUGCGCACGUAAACUUUUGAUGUUUAAAGUAGAUGUAUCUAUAGGUAG
rnacentral:tRNA from 1 species